rnacentral:rRNA from 1 species
UGGGGAUGACGUCAAGUCAUCAUGGCCCUUAUGGGCUGGGCUACACACGUGACUACGAAUGGACCGGUACAGAGGGUUGCCAACCCGCGAGGGGAGCCAAUCUCAAGAAAACCGGUCGUAGUCCGGAUCGCAGUCUGCAACUCGACUGCGUGAAGUCGGAAUCGCUAGUAAUCGCGAAUCAGCAUGUCGCGGUGAAUACGUUCCCGGGCCUU